UACGUAUGGUGCAAGCGUUAUCCGGAUUUACUGGGUGUAAAGGGAGCGCAGGCGGCACGGCAAGCCUGAUGCGAAAGCCCGCGGCCCAACCGCGGGACUGCAUUGGGAACUACCGGGCUGGAGUGCCGGAGAGGUAGGCGGAAUUCCUAGUGUAGCGGUGAAAUGCGUAGAUAUUAGGAGGAACACCAGUGGCGAAGGCGGCCUACUGGACGGUGACUGACGCUGAGGCUCGAAAGCGUGGGGAGCAAACAGG
rnacentral:rRNA from 1 species